AACGCACAUUGCGCCCCUUGGUAUUCCGAGGGGCAUGCCUGUUCGAGCGUCAUUACACCACUCAAGCCUGGCUUGGUAUUGGGCGACGGGACCUCCCCGCGCCUCAAUUUCGUCGGCUGGACGACCCGUAUCGCAGCGUUGUGACACAAGUUCGCUGGCGAGAAGGGCCGCCCGCGCCGUUAAAAACCUCCAUCAAAGGUUGACCUCGGAUCAGGUAGGAAUACCCGCUGAACUUAA
rnacentral:misc_RNA from 1 species